UGUAAGUAACUAUGCACGUCUUGACGGUACCUAAUCAGAAAGCCACGGCUAACUACGUGCCAGCAGCCGCGGUAAUACGUAGGUGGCAAGCGUUAUCCGGAAUUAUUGGGCGUAAAGCGCGCGUAGGCGGUUUUUUAAGGCUGAUGUGAAAGCCCACGGCUCAACCGUGGAGGGUCAUUGGAAACUGGAAAACUUGAGUGCAGAAGAGGAAAGUGGAAUUCCAUGUGUAGCGGUGAAAUGCGCAGAGAUAUGGAGGAACACCAGUGGCGAAGGCGACUUUCUGGUCUGUAACUGACGCUGAUGUGCGAAAGCGUGGGGAUCAAACAGGAUUAGAUACCCUGGUAGUCCACGCCGUAAACGAUGAGUGCUAAGUGUUAGGGGGUUUCCGCCCCUUAGUGCUGCAGCUAACGCAUUAAGCACUCCGCCUGGGGAGUACGACCGCAAGGUUGAAACUCAAAGGAAUUGACGGGGACCCG
rnacentral:rRNA from 1 species